rnacentral:piRNA from 1 species
UCAUACUACCUCAUGGCAGGGAGCGGAUC